AUGGCAAAGUUAAUAAGGGCGCACGGUGGAUGCCUUGGCACUAAGAGCCGAUGAAGGACGUGACUAACGACGAUAUUCUAGGGGGAGCAGUAAGUACGCAUUGAUCCCUAGGUCUCCGAAUGGGGAAACCCAGCUGCUACUAGCAGUUAUUCAUGAGUGAAUACAUAGCUCAUGUAAAGGUAACGCAGAGAACUGAAACAUCUAAGUACCUGCAGGAAGAGAAAGUAAAAACGAUUUCGUAAGUAGCGGCGAGCGAACGCGAAGAAGGGCAAACCAAGAAGCUUGCUUCUUGGGGUUGUAGGACUGCAACGUGGACUUAAGCAUUAUAGUCGAAUAACCUGGGAAGGUUAAUCAAAGAGGGUAAUAAUCCCGUAGACGAAAUAGCGCUUAUACCUAGCAGUAUCCUGAGUAGGGCUGGACACGCGAAAUCCAGUUUGAAUCCGGGAGGACCAUCUCCCAACCCUAAAUACUCCUUAGUGACCGAUAGUGAACCAGUACCGUGAGGGAAAGGUGAAAAGAACCCCGAGAGGGGAGUGAAAUAGCACCUGAAACCGUGUGCCUACAAGAAGUUCGAGCCCGUUAAUGGGUGAGAGCGUGCCUUUUGUAGAAUGAACCGGCGAGUUACGUUAUGAUGCGAGGUUAAGUUGAAGAGACGGAGCCGUAGGGAAACCGAGUCUGAAUAGGGCGACUUAGUAUCAUGAUGUAGACCCGAAACCUAGUGACCUAUCCAUGAGCAGGGUGAAGGUGUGGUAAGACGCACUGGAGGCCCGAACCAGGACACGUUGAAAAGUGUUUGGAUGACUUGUGGAUAGCGGAGAAAUUCCAAACGAACUGGGAGAUAGCUGGUUCUCUCCGAAAUAGCUUUAGGGCUAGCGUCGAAAUGUAAGUGUAUUGGAGGUAGAGCACUGUUUGGGUGAGGGGUCCGUCUAGGAUUACCAAUCUCAGAUAAACUCCGAAUGCUAAUACACAUGUUCGGCAGUCAGACUGCGAGUGCUAAGAUCCGUAGUCGAAAGGGAAACAGCCCAGACCAACAGCUAAGGUCCCAAAAUAUAUGUUAAGUGGAAAAGGAUGUGGGGUUGCACAGACAACUAGGAUGUUAGCUCAGAAGCAGCUAUCAUUCAAAGAGUGCGUAAUAGCUCACUAGUCGAGUGACCCUGCGCCGAAAAUGUACCGGGGCUAAACAUAUUACCGAAGCUUUGGAUUUAAUUUAAUUAAAUGGUAGGAGAGCGUUCUUAACCGCGAUGAAGGUAUACCGUGAGGAGUGCUGGAGCGUUAAGAAGUGAGAAUGCCGGUAUGAGUAGCGCAAGAUAAGUGAGAAUCUUAUCCACCGUAAGACUAAGGUUUCCAGGGGAAGGCUCGUCCGCCCUGGGUUAGUCGGGACCUAAGGCGAGGCCGAAAGGCGUAGUCGAUGGACAACUGGUUGAUAUUCCAGUACUAGAUAUGAUCGUGAUGGAGGGACGCAGUAGGCUAAGAGAUGCCAGUUAAUGGAUUCUGGUCUAAGCAGUGAGGUGUGAGAUGUGUCAAAUGCAUUUCUCUUUAACAUUGAGCUGUGAUGGGGAAGCAACUACGGUUGCGAACUCUCUGAUGUCACACUGCCAAGAAAAGCUUCUAGCGUAAAGUCAUAUCUACCCGUACCGCAAACCGACACAGGUAGUCGAGGCGAGUAGCCUCAGGUGAUCGAGAGAACUCUCGUUAAGGAACUCGGCAAAAUAGCCCCGUAACUUCGGGAGAAGGGGUGCUGGUGUAAAAGCCAGCCGCAGUGAAUAGGCCCAAGCAACUGUUUAUCAAAAACACAGCUCUCUGCUAAACCGCAAGGUGAUGUAUAGGGGGUGACGCCUGCCCGGUGCUGGAAGGUUAAGAGGAGUGCUUAGACGUAAGUCGAAGGUAUGAAUUGAAGCCCCAGUAAACGGCGGCCGUAACUAUAACGGUCCUAAGGUAGCGAAAUUCCUUGUCGGGUAAGUUCCGACCCGCACGAAAGGCGUAAUGAUUUGGGCACUGUCUCAACGAGAGACUCGGUGAAAUUUUAGUACCUGUGAAGAUGCAGGUUACCCGCGACAGGACGGAAAGACCCCAUGGAGCUUUACUGUAGUUUGAUAUUGAGUACCUGUAAGUCAUGUACAGGAUAGGUAGGAGCCAUUGAAAUAGGGACGCUAGUUUCUAUUGAGGCGUUGUUGGGAUACUACCCUUGACUUAUGGUUACUCUAACCCGCUGGCAUAAUCGGCCAGGGAGACAGUGUCUGACGGACAGUUUGACUGGGGCGGUCGCCUCCUAAAGAGUAACGGAGGCGCUCAAAGGUUGGCUCAGAUUGGUUGGAAAUCAAUCGUAGAGUGUAAAGG
rnacentral:rRNA from 1 species